AGCGAACGCUGGCGGCAGGCCUAACACAUGCAAGUCGAGCGGCCGUAGCAAUACGGCAGCGGCAGACGGGAUAGUAACACGUGGGAACGCGCCCUUCGGUUCGGAAUAACUCAGGGAAACUUGAGCUAAUACCGGAUACGCCCUUACGGGAAGAUUAUUGCCGAAGGAACGGCCCGCGUCCGAUUAGCUAGUUGGUGAGGUAAUGGCUCACCAAGGCAACGAUCGGUAGCUGGUCNGAGAGGACGAUCAGCCACACUGGGACUGAGACACGGCCCAGACUCCUACCGGGAGGCAGCAGUGGGGAAUCUUGCGCAAUGGGCGAAAGGCCUGACGCAGCGAUGCCGCGUGA
rnacentral:rRNA from 1 species